CAGAAAUGCCUUUCCCAUUAGCAGGAGUCCUGCAGGACCAGCCCUUGAGUGGACAUCUUGGUGAGGUCAUGAUUCAGCUCUUAGUCUUUUGCUGAGGCACAGUGAAGUGAGGACCUGAGGAGUGUGUCUGGUGUUCCAGAAGGAGGCCUGAGGCCUAGUCCAACAACCACGCAUCUACUGCAAGUUAACCCCUGCACCGUGGGUGAAAGUCAAAGCCUGACGUAGCGACGACAGUAAACCUGGCUUCAGCGGAGCUGUGAGGAGAACUGAGUGGCGCAAUACGGAGGAGAGGACGCAUGAUAUGUUCAAGCCGACCGGCCGGGAGGAAGUCUCGCGAGAGACCGGAGUACAAUGAAAGAAGACACCCUAACUAUGGAUCCACCACCUUUACAACAGUGAUCCCCAUUCCUCUCCCUGUAGAAUGACCUCUAAAAAGGUCACAGGUGAUGAUCAGUAACAUAUAUGUAACCCCUGUGGAGUUGGCUGCAUUAUCUGAAAUUCACAGUAGAUGGUGGAUGGAGACCACAAAUGAACUAGUAUGUUGUUAAUAAGACUGGAGCUGUGACCACAUGAUUAGCAGCCAUUUCAUGAGACAUAAUGCUGAUUGGUGGAGACUUCGGUCACAUAAUUGUGACAUCACACAGGUCCUGUGCCCUGAUGAUUUGCUAAGAUGACUACACGCUUAGCUAGAGAAAAGACGUGCUUCUAGCUGUGAGAGACAGCACCAUAGAGACAGCACCAAGCUGAGAGAACUUGAUUCACACAGGACUACACUAGCUGAGAGAGACCUGUAGGCAGAGACAAGCAUUGAGUCCAGACAUCUGGUGAAUACAAUGUGAGGAGACUGCUGCUGGACUGACCUGGUUAAUGGUGUUGUGAGGGUAAGAUAAAGCCUCUUCCCUGUUCCACUACAGGGCAUUUGUCUCCUUACUCAAAGUAAAGACUCUGAGGUCCAGUGGUGGAUAUUACACAGCUCAGGCUGCUUCAGUGACUCUGCAGAGCAGGACUUAUAAGGGCCCCAACACUCCUAUGUGCACCAACGGCCAUUAGGGCGUAGAUAAGGGGGUGGGCCGCAGGUGUGCUAGUGGGUAGGUGAGGAAAAUCCACAUUGAA